rnacentral:rRNA from 1 species
GACGAACGCUGGCGGCGUGCUUAACACAUGCAAGUCGAACGGUGAAGCGCCUUCCUUUUUGGUGGGUGUGGAUGAGUGGCGAACGGGUGAGUAACACGUGAGUAACCUGCCCCCUUCUUCUGGAUAACCGCAUGAAAGUGUGGCUAAUACGGGAUAUUCUGGGUCUGUCGCAUGAUGGGUCUGGGAAAGAUAUUGUUUCGGUGGGGGAUGGGCUCGCGGCCUAUCAGCUUGUUGGUGGGGUGAUGGCCUACCAAGGCGGUGACGGGUAGCCGGCCUGAGAGGGUGGAUGGGCCACCUGGGGCGGGAACGCGUCCAAGCCUCAUCGGGGAGGAGACAGGGGGGAUUAUGGAACAGGGGGCGCAGGCCUUUUCCGGCGCCGCCGGGGGGGGGAUGGGGCCCUCGGGGUUGGAACCUUCUUCCGCAGGGGAAGCGGGCCUCCCUGUUUUGGGGUUGUUUGCGGGGGGGAGGAAAAGAAGGCCCCGAAAAACACGGCC